rnacentral:tRNA from 1 species
UUCCUGGUGGUCUAGUGGUUAGGACUUGGCGCUUUCACUGCUGCAGCCCAGGUUCAAGCCCUGGGCUGGGAA